GAUGUACACUAUACGCACUCAACGGCCGCCAUCUUGUCUACGUAGCGGAAGAGGCGGAGCCAGGCAGAGCCGCUCAGCUCGAAAAAAAUGUUUGUAAUGGCGGCCGACGACGCCGGCGCAUUCUCCACAUUUGCUGCGUGAAUGGAGCCAUAUUGCCGGAUUGUAGAAGUAAAGAUUAAACAACACAAAGGAUAAUUUUUUUCGCGGUUCAAAGCCGGAAGUUUUUCGCGGGGUGACGAGCCGCGGCCGCUGUCGCGAGCGUCAUUUCCGGAAGGAUUCUGGCUGUCUGUAGGACCGACACUGAAGGAAGGAUCCUACCAAGGAAGUAUCCUUGACAUUAGGAUACACAGCUUCCGUGUUCCAUUCGCUGGUCCCUGCAGCGAGAGAGCGGAAGGGGAAACCCUGAGUAAACCAACAAUUUAUCAACUUUAUGCAAAAUGCAUUCAAGGGCUCCCAGUGACCUUUCCCGGUCAGCCUUUGGACCCGGCACUGCUUUUGGGGAGGACGUAGGAUGCAGAAAGAUUCGAGAGCAACUGACAGCUCAUCGGUCACGUCCACCAACCCUGCCAAAUUGAGCCAGAGGAAGGCACUGAAUCCCUACCAGCCACUGACUUUCCUGCAGGGAUUCAUUGCGUGUCUGCCACUUUGUGAGUGUUUGUGUGAGUCAAGUUCUGUUUUCAGAAUUUUUCAUUUUGUAAAAAAACUUCUUUCUCAUUUCGUAUAUUUACUUGCAGAAAAAACAUACCCUUGAAACUCAAAUCCUGACCUCGAUAUCAUUGUUUAAGUUUUUGUGGUGAAUGAUUCGACUGAUGUUCCAGCACUGCAGGAAAAGUAAACACUGUGUGGUGGAAGAAUAAUUCAGUCAGGGUCUCUUUGAAACUCCCUCUCCUGACAAUCUAAGGCCUGCAGUAUCAGGAACAUCGUCUAAAUCACUUCUCAAAACUCAUCUCUUUAAAAUCACUUUGUUAUGUUAAACCACCAGUAUAAUUCUAAUCUAUUCAAUCUAUAUUAUAUUGUGUUUGUCCAUGCCAUUGUUUUUAUUACAUGUACUCAUUGUAGGCCUAUUUGCCUACCUCACCCUACAAAUGUAUUUAAUUUGAUUUUUCCAUUUAAAGCAUUUAGUCACUUUUCUUUCCUUUUUUUCUUUUAUUAAAUAUAAUGAUCAAAAAUGUGUUUUGAAAAACAGAAAUUCUCACAGAACAGACACAUGAAAAAUGAUUACAGUUUGUACACAGACUUGUGGCUAAAACUAGUUGUUUUCCAUGCAAAGAAUACCAAAGAUAUUUAGGAUUCAAACCAUGCCCUCCCCAUCUAAUUUUAUACAAUGGACAACUUUUUCCUUAUUUGUGAUUUAUUAUCAUUUUAAGCCUUCAUUUUGAGGUCUGUGUGUAGGAAUAAUGAAACCAUUGUGUGCUUUGUCUUUUUCAAUUAAUGAAAAUAAAUAUUAUACAUUUUUGAUGGGGAAUCUCCGGAAAAAAACAUUCCUCUUUGGCUAUCGCCUAGAAUUAGGACCUGCAGGUGGCGUUGUUUAGCCCCUGGCUCUUGCAGCAGACAACACACACUCAUUAACACACACACACAAA